rnacentral:rRNA from 1 species
UACGUAGGGGGCAAGCGUUGUCCGGAAUCAUUGGGCGUAAAGCGCGUGUAGGCGGCUCGGGUAGUCUGGUGUGAAAUCUUUCGGCUCAACCGGAAGCGGUCACUGGAUACUCUCGGGCUUGAGUCCGGAAGAGGAGAGUGGAAUUCCUGGUGUAGCGGUGGAAUGCGCAGAUAUCAGGAGGAACACCAAUGGCGAAGGCAGCUCUCUGGGUCGAUACUGACGCUGAGGAGCGAAAGCGUGGGGAGCGAACAGG